GAUGAACGCUGGCGGCGUGCUUAACACAUGCAAGUCGAACGAAACACCUUAUUUGAUUUUCUUCGGAACUGAAGAUUUGGUGAUUGAGUGGCGGACGGGUGAGUAACGCGUGGGUAACCUGCCCUGUACAGGGGGAUAACAGUCAGAAAUGACUGCUAAUACCGCAUAAGACCACAGCACCGCAUGGUGCAGGGGUAAAAACUCCGGUGGUACAGGAUGGACCCGCGUCUGAUUAGCUGGUUGGUGAGGUAACGGCUCACCAAGGCGACGAUCAGUAGCCGGCUUGAGAGAGUGAACGGCCACAUUGGGAACUGACACUCGGCCCAAACUCCUACGGGAGGCUGCUUUGGGGCAUAUUGCACAAUGGGAGGAAACCCUGUUGCAACGACCCCCGCGUGAGUGAAGAAGUAUCUCGGUAUGUAAAGCUCUAUCAGCAGGGAAGAAAAUGACGGUACCUGACUAAGAAGCCCCGGCUAACUACGUGCCAGCAGCCGCGGUAAUACGUAGGGGGCAAGCGUUAUCCGGAAUUACUGGGUGUAAAGGGUGCGUAGGUGGUAUGGCAAGUCAGAAGUGAAAACCCAGGGCUUAACUCUGGGACUGCUUUUGAAACUGUCAGACUGGAGUGCAGGAGAGGUAAGCGGAAUUCCUAGUGUAGCGGUGAAAUGCGUAGAUAUUAGGAGGAACAUCAGUGGCGAAGGCGGCUUACUGGACUGAAACUGACACUGAGGCACGAAAGCGUGGGGAGCAAACAAAAUUAGAUACCCUGGUAGUCCACGCCGUAAAC
rnacentral:rRNA from 1 species